UACGUAGGGUGCAAGCGUUAAUCGGAAUUACUGGGCGUAAAGCGUGCGCAGGCGGUUGUGCAAGACAGAUGUGAAAUCCCCGGGCUCAACCUGGGAACUGCAUCUGUGACUGUAUAGCUAGAGUACGGUAGAGGGGGAUGGAAUUCCGCGUGUAGCAGUGAAAUGCGUAGAUAUGCGGAGGAACACCGAUGGCGAAGGCAAUCCCCUGGACCUGUACUGACGCUCAUGCACGAAAGCGUGGGGAGCAAACAGG
rnacentral:rRNA from 1 species